rnacentral:rRNA from 1 species
UACGAAGGGGGCUAGCGUUGUUCGGAUUUACUGGGCGUAAAGCGCACGUAGGCGGAUCGUUAAGUCGGGGGUGAAAUCCUGGAGCUCAACUCCAGAACUGCCUUUGAUACUGGAGGAUCUUGAGUUCGGGAGAGGUGAGUGGAACUGCGAGUGUAGAGGUGAAAUGCGCAGAUAUCGGAGGAACACCUAUGGCGGAAGGCGGCUCACUGGUCCGGUACUGACGCUGAGGUGACGAAAGGCGUGGGGAGCAAACAGG